rnacentral:sRNA from 1 species
GUAGAAUUGGGCUGAAGAGGUUUCCUAGGCAGCCUCGCAGGCUGCACAGCACACCACCCCCGAGGUGCCCACGUGCAGCCCCGUGAUUUGUUCUCCACUGACAGAAUCUAUACCGGCCACUGGGACACGUUGUGCUUUAACAAGAUCGAAAUUGAUUGCUGCCAGCGUGUCCAUGUUGGCUGCUUCUUUUGGAGGGAGCCAGUGGGGGACGGGAGUCUCAGCAGGCUGGGAAGACCGUGAUGAUAAUCGUAGCAAUCAGCCCCAAAUACAAACAGGAUGUGGAAGGCGCUGAGUCGCAGCUGGACGAGGAUGAGCAUGGCUUACAUACUAAGUACAUUCAUCGAAUGAUGCAGAUUGAGUUCAUAAAACAAGGAAGCAUGAAUUUCAGAUUCAUCCCUGUGCUCUUCCCAAAUGCUAAGAAGGAGCAUGUGCCCACCUGGCUUCAGAACACUCAUGUCUACAGCUGGCCCAAGAAUAAAAAAAACAUCCUGCUGCGGCUGCUGAGAGAGGAAGAGUAUGUGGCUCCUCCACGGGGGCCUCUGCCCACCCUUCAGGUGGUUCCCUUGUGACACCGUUCAUCCCCAGAUCACUGAGGCCAGGCCAUGUUUGGGGCCCUGUUCUGACAGCAUUCUAGCUGAGGCUGGUCGGUAGCACUCCUGGCUGGUUUUUUUCUGUUCCUCCCCGAGAGGCCCUCUGGCCCCCAGGAAACCUGUUGUGCAGAGCUCUUCCCCAGAGAC